rnacentral:rRNA from 1 species
AGUCGAACGAAGCACUUAAGAACGAUUCUUCGGAUGAAGUCUUUUGUGACUGAGUGGCGGACGGGUGAGUAACGCGUGGGUAACCUGCCUCACACAGGGGGAUAACAGUUGGAAACGACCGCUAAUACCGCAUAAGCCAACAGGGGCGCAUGCUCUGGUUGGAAAAGAUUUAUCGGUGUGAGAUGGACCCGCGUCUGAUUAGCCAGUUGGCAGGGUAACGGCCUACCAAAGCGACGAUCAGUAGCCGGCCUGAGAGGGUGAACGGCCACAUUGGGACUGAGACACGGCCCAAACUCCUACGGGAGGCAGCAGUGGGGAAUAUUGCACAAUGGGGGAAACCCUGAUGCAGCGACGCCGCGUGAGUGAAGAAGUAUUUCGGUAUGUAAAGCUCUAUCAGCAGGGAAGAAAAUGACGGUACCUGACUAAGAAGCCCCGGCUAACUACGUGCCAGCAGCCGCGGUAAUACGUAGGGGGCAAGCGUUAUCCGGAUUUACUGGGUGUAAAGGGAGCGUAGACGGUGAUGCAAGUCAGAAGUGAAAGCCCGGGGCUCAACUCCGGGACUGCUUUUGAAACUGUGUAACUGGAGUGCAGGAGAGGUAAGCGGAAUUCCUGGUGUAGCGGUGAAAUGCGUAGAUAUCAGGAGGAACACCAGUGGCGAAGGCGGCUUACUGGACUGUAACUGACGUUGAGGCUCGAAAGCGU